UAGAAGCCUAGACCUGGUUUGGUUUUCACUAGAUUAUUUUACCAGCAAAGUAUAUCCUGCUUUACUGCGUUGUUUAGCAUAUUGUUAACAAAUUUUUAAUCUUCAGAUACCACUGUAGCCGCGAAUGGUAUGCACGUCUGUGGGAAUAGACAGUUAAAAUGUAAAGGGGCAUAUAAAGUUAAUCUUCUAUAGGAAACAAGCUUGCUUUAACAAAGUACUGCGUCUCUGCCAGAAUGUUAUGUUUAAAGGGUGGUUUCUUUCCUGUGUAAAUUCAUUACGCUGUUUAAAAAAUUAAUUUUCCAGGACAUGAAGAGAACACCUCAUUCAAACUAUAUUUGGCAUUGUUCUUCAUUAAGUGAUCGCUUCUCUCAACCGCAGUUGUGAUGUCUGGGGGGGAGGGAGGGAGGAGGAGGAAGAGGAGGGAAAUCCCUUUAGUUUUGUGAUGAGGUUUUUGGUCUUUAAAAGGGGCUUUAAAACAAAGUCAUGGUUACUCUUUUGUAUGAUAAGCCCAAAAUGUUAUGUAGAUUUUGUUUGCACGUUUAUGUUGAGCCAGUCACUGGGUCUUGUGUGUACAAUGUACUUACGUAUGUAUGUAUGUAUGUUGCUGGACCUUGCUCUAGAUCUGUGUUGUAUUUGGGGAAUAUAUGCUUAAGUAUUAACUCGGUAAUGCCUUCUAAUGGUAGUGCUAAUUACAGUAGGGUUGUUUAGCAAAUUAAGUGAGAUGGUGCACCCUCCUUGAGCACACAAUUAACUUACACACACACACACACACACACACACACACACACGUUAAUUUUGGUAUGUUUCUCUCGCCCAAUCACUUUGCUGGAACUAAAACAUGCCUUACCUCAGAGCAGUCAAUUACCAAAGCUACCCGAGAUCAUCAAUCAUGGGGGAUAGUUGAAGUUUAGGGGAGGAGCAAUGGUCAAACUAUCGAUUGCUGCACUUUUGUCCCCCACUCCCCCUUUUUCUCGUUCACGGUCCCCUGCACAUAAAAUCUAAAACAGACUAUCCCGUUAAUAGUGGGAUUUAUCAAUGAUUAUGUAUGUAUCCAGUUGUGAAUGUGGCCUCAUACAUAGAUGGCUUUUAAACAUACACCGCAAAAAUGUAUUUGAGUCAGUUAGGGAUUAUUAUUGAUAUUUUAAGAUUUUUUUUUGAAACUAACUAACUAACUAGAUGCAUAAAAAAACCCAAAGGGUAAUUAUAGAAAUUUGGCUAGAUUUUAAUGGGCAUAGAGAAUGAGCUCCAGAGGUCAAUAAACCCCUCGAAAAUGAUGAAUGAUUGAGUACCUGUGAUGAUGAUAGUGAUUACCGGAGCAAUUAAACAGUUUGAUUAAAUGAGCCAUCAUAACAAUGAUGUCUGCGGGAAAUCAGCCCUCACAUAUAAAGAAAGAUAGGGUGGCGGGCUGACAAACGCCAGUGGGCAUUCCUACGAGUCCUGAUAGCGGUGAGCCCUGCAGAGCAGCAUGUAUUUACAAAUAUGAGAGCAAUAUGGAGAAAAGUCACUCAGAUACUUUUAGCCAGACUGGCACCCUCCUUAAAAAUCGUCAGAAGCCGAAGAGCAGACCGGUUAUUUUUCCCCUAGAGGAUCUCCUCCAAGAUUAAAGCUAGCUCUAAGAGCAACCGAUAUUCUGUGACUGACUUUCACGGGACUAUAAAGAAAGGUUAAGCGGGAUGGUUCAAAAUUACACUGCUGUGGAAGGGCUAAUGCAGCUACCAAAUGCCCCUCACAAGAUGGAUGAAGAAGAACUAGAAGAGACAACAAAUAGGCUCAUCAAAUCUCAGGCUAUCACUACAUCCAUGAGCAAUUUCAGGCUACCUAAGAAAGUCUAGAGAGCUGUAUUGAUUAUGAAUUAUGCUGGCAAUUGUAUGUUUUUAAAUAAAAAAAUAAUGAUGGUGUCAAAGAACAUGGAUAUAGAAUGAAGUGAUUUUACUCUUCAAAGCAAACAAUGAAGUUUCAUGACUAGGCAGCUCAUUGUAUUCAGAGACUUUAAUUACUCAGAGCUCCUUCCCUUACAGCUAGCUGAUAAGACUCAAAGGGCAAAACCCAUCUCUGGUGUACUCCACUGACUUCAAUAGUGUUCCACCAGGGAUGGAUUGGCCUAAGUGUUUCUGGCAGGAUUAUGCUAAUAUAAUAAUAUUUAUAAUAAUCUUCAUGCAGAAAGCCAGGAAGCCAGAGAUUUGACCUCUGUUAAUCAUGUAGAUCUGCACACUUCAAAAGACCUGAAAUCAUCUUGUAGGUCUCAUCUGCUAGAGGAGAAGAUGCCUUUGAAGGGAAUCAACCUUCCAGCUGUGCUUCGCUUCAGGCAAUCCCCUCCAUAUGUUGAUAGCCUUCAAUAUUUUGGGGUCCAAACUUAUAGACAAAACUCCCAUUGAUUUAAAUGGGAUUUUUGCUGACUGAGGAAUACAGGACAUGGCUAUCUACCUGAUUCUGCAAGAUGCUGAGCACCCCAUGAAAAGUGCUGAGUAUGCCUAAUUCCCUCUGACUUUAAUAGGAAUUGUGGACCUUCGGCACACAGUAAUCAAGCUCCAGGCACCUCAGAGGAUCAGGCCCUUAAUUAGUAUUUUAGCUAUUGUCAGUCAUAGUUUUUGUAUGACAUGUUUUCAACACCAUCUCUGAUAUUAUGAAGUGCAUGAUAUAUGCUGCAGUUUAAAAUAUUUUCCACAUCUGCAGAAAUAAACAGGCUUCUUAAGUGAUGAAACAAGAUUAAUCCACAAUAUACUAAUACAUUUCUUAUAAAGCAAGUAUAUACAAAUUUAUAAACCUCCUAGUAUUACGUCAUAUGCAAUUAUAACCCAUCACUAAUAGUUCUAUUGAUUGUGGCAUAAAAAGCUCUAAUAGAAGCAGUUCUUUGGAGUAGAGAAAUAAAACAAUAAAAAAAAACAAAAAACAUAAGAAGUGUUUGUCCUGUACUCUUACCUUGAGGCCAUAUUACGAUCACUAUAAGACAUAUCCAGGCAUGUGUCACACUUGAUAAUACUAUUUCUUGGGUGUUUGAGGGCACUUGGCUUUACCUUGUACUUCACAACAGCUGAGCCAUGUCACUUAGCUGCAUGAUCCUGGCUCUAGUGGAAAAAAUUAUUAAACUAGAUAUAUUUAUUGUUAUUUUACACUAAAUACUGAAAUAUUUCAUUUGCAUCAUUCACACACAUUAAAACACACAUUUUUUCCAAAGGUUUUCUCUUGAUGGAAGAGCUGAUCAAAUUAUUAAUUUUGAAUACAUACUAGCUGGUCAAAAUAGUGCUAUUUUCUGUUCUCAAAUGCAUGAUUAUUGAUAUGUGUUAUGUUAGCACCAAAAAACCUCAAAGAAGGAUUAGGGCCCCAUAAUCAAUCCUUAUUUCUGUGAAAGUAUUCGUUUCUUGCAAGUUGAAUAGUUUAGGCAAACAAAUUUCAGUCUAUGGGCCCUUUGCAAAAUGUUCAUUUAGACUCUUUGCAAUUCAUUAUUCUUGAUGUAUGACUGGCUACCUUAGUCACAUGGUAUUAGUUCUGCUCUCCAACUGGUUGGCUAAAGUUUAUUAAACAGGAGGUUAACAGCAAAAAGCAAUAACAAAUAUUCACACCUGAUUUUGCUUCCAUUUAAGUCAAUAAAAGGACAAAGAGCACCCAUCGCACCCAUCUAUGAGACGAACAUCUGUUUGUACGAAUGUUCACAUAUAGUGAGUAAAAAGGGAUACAAACAUGACAAACUAAACUCUCAUUUGGAAUCUGAACACCAGUUCCAAAUAUAGUUUUGCAGUAUGAAAUCAGCUCUAUUUUUUGUGAAGACAAUAUAAUUACAAUUUUACAGCAUUAUUAUAAAGAACCAAAAUUCAUGAGGAGAAUUGUCCUAAUUUUCUUCCCCUACCUAGGUUUAACUCCAAAUUAUUCUGUGUUACAAAUGGGUCUGGUGCUUGGAGCAAGAAAAAUAUUGUUUGUCCCAGAGGCAGAUGCUCCUUGAUCUGUUGUUUUCAGAUUUCAGCCAUUGAUAAGGUGUUGGCUGCACCCUAUAGAUUCAGGAUAACAGUUUGAUCUGAGAAUAAAUAUCUAAAGGAGUUUUUAGUGUUCGAGGGAGCCAUUCAAUUUCUUACCUACCCCAACAUAAAUGGAAAAGUAGACAUAAAGGGCUUGGUCCUGCAUUUUUUGUGCUUUGAAACUUCCUAUUGACUUUACUGGGAGCUAUGAAUAUGUGAAUGUUGGGUCCUUAUUUUGAUGGAAACUACUAUAUUUCUAUAUUGUUAUUUUUACAGUUGUAAAACUCUGUUUUGUGUCUACUACCACCAUACAAAAAGAGGAAGAAAUGAAAUAUUUAUGGUACCCAAGAGUAAAAUAUUGUUUUAUCAAUAAGUAUCAAUGGUUCCAAAUCAUGGCUUUCCAAUUCAAAUGCAGAUCUGAACUGCUGUAAAGUUUGAAGGUGUUAGGAUAAAGGGUUUUAAUUCAGGCCUUUCUCCCUUAAUAAAGUAAUAAAUAGAAAUUGCUGUUGUUACAAAGAAACACGUUUGCAAAAAAUACUGAUAGUUUGAAUGUGAAGUCAGCAGGGGGAAAAAGACAGGAAAAAUAAUUGGGUCUGAGUUUCUUCUCUGGUGUAAGCUAGGAGUAACUAUAUUGAAGUUACUGGAAUUUCACUGGUUAAAGCUGGUGUGAGGGGAGAAUCAGGCCACUUGUGUUUAAAUAGAUGGAAUUACUUUAAGAGUAUUUUUAAGAAAACAAUCUGCAAAUAAAUACAAAACAACAGGGCAAAUAUAGACAUAUUACCUUUUUUGCGUGCAUGCUUAUUUGUAAGUGCAAAUUAGAUUUGAAUAUUCAUGAGUCACAAAUCAUUGACAGUUUGAAAUAAUGCAAAAUGAGGUGAAGGCAAGGGACAUCAAAGAAAUGCAUCAUUAAAUCAAUAGCAAUUUGAUUGUGCAUAUACUUGUAAAUUGCAGUUACAGUUUUUGACAUAGGAGAAAAAAUGUGCACUUGGUGAAGAAAGACAUAUAAAGACUCUUUUUGUCUGUGUUUAUAUUUUUGCAGUUCAGCAUGUACUUGGAUAACUGCUGUGUAUAAAGUGACCAGACAUAACUUUUUUAUUUUUUCAAGGCAGUUACAGUUUCUUUUGCCUGUCCCAUCUCUUGUAUUGUUUUGCUUAUUAAGCUAAACAUUCAAUUUUCAAUAUAUCUGAACAGCAAUGUUGUAAAAUAACGCUAUUACUUACUGGACGUGGUUUCAGAAGAAGGUUCACCUGUGAAUCAGAGUACUAUCAUAAAAUCAUGUUCAGUGGAGAUUAUCCACUUGUUUCAGGGAAUUUUUUUCUAUGAAGUGGGAGUGAGUUGCAAGUCUUAGGGCAAAUUGCUGGAGUACAGGGCUUUAAAAUAAUGACAGGUUGAAAGAUGGCCAACCUAACCAUUUAAAUCAGAGCUUUUUCAUUUUGCCCUUCUGUAAGCAUCAAUAAAGUAUUGGAUCUCUGUCUCACUUGUGAGCUUUGUGGCUAUUUAAAAUGGAAUAGUUUAAAAUGUUGAUGAGUAUAUAGAGCCAAAAGGUAAAACUGCUGAAUAUAAAUGAAUAAAGCACUCAUUUAAAAAUUACUCCAAUGUAUUUGUUUCUCCUAAAUGUUCCUUCUUUGAUUAUUAAACACAAACUGUAAGAUAUUA